CAGAAAAAGAACUUGAAUGAUCUUUGGUAAUAUUUGUUCUUAUCCUUUAUUUCAUCAGUGAAAUUAUUUUAAACUCAUGUUACCUGUUCUAUACCUCCAGAACUCUGAUUUAGUAGAGGUUGGCAACCCCGCCUUUGGCAGAGAGUUCAUCAAGCCUCAGGAGAUCUGAGCUACAGAAAUUUACUAAACAGAUUCCAGGCUUGUUUUUUUAAAGCGCCAUAUCAAGAUUCUUGUACACUCCACUCCAUCAGGAUGUGUCAGCAUAUAGCAAUACUAUUGCAGAAGCAACAUAAGGCUGGAAUAAAACUUAAGGGAGGAACAUAACUGAAUGCAGAUGGAAGCGAGCUAUGAAGAAUGCAUGUAAUGAAAAAGAGGAUGAAUGGCAGGUGAAUAUGAAUGUUUAAGAAGGAGGAG
ensembl:lncRNA